AGAACUUGAAACCGUGUGCUUACAAGUAGUCAGAGCCCGUUAAUGGGUGAUGGCGUGCCUUUUGUAGAAUGAACCGGCGAGUUACGAUCUGAUGCAAGGUUAAGCAGAAAAUGUGGAGCCGUAGCGAAAGCGAGUCUGAAUAGGGCGAAUGAGUAUUUGGUCGUAGACCCGAAACCAGGUGAUCUACCCUUGGUCAGGUUGAAGUUCAGGUAACACUGAAUGGAGGACCGAACCGACUUACGUUGAAAAGUGAGCGGAUGAACUGAGGGUAGCGGAGAAAUUCCAAUCGAACUUGGAGAUAGCUGGUUCUCUCCGAAAUAGCUUUAGGGCUAGCCUCAAGUGAUGAUUAUUGGAGGUAGAGCACUGUUUGGACGAGGGGCCCCUCUCGGGUUACCGAAUUCAGACAAACUCCGAAUGCCAAAUAAUUUAACUUGGGAGUCAGAAUGUGGGUGAUAAGGUCCAUAUUCGAAAGGGAAACAGCCCAGACCACCAGCUAAGGUCCCAAAAUAUAUGUUAAGUGGAAAAGGAUGUGGCGUUGCCCAGACAACUAGGAUGUUGGCUUAGAAGCAGCCAUCAUUUAAAGAGUGCGUAAUAGCUCACUAGUCGAGUGACACUGCGCCGAAAAUGUACCGGGGCUAAACAUAUUACCGAAGCUGUGGAUUGUCCUUUGGACAAU
rnacentral:rRNA from 1 species